rnacentral:rRNA from 1 species
AACGAACGCCGGCGGCAUGCCUAACACAUGCAAGUCGAACGAGACCUUCGGGUCUAGUGGCGCACGGGUGCGUAACGCGUGGGAACCUGCCCUUAGGUUCGGAAUAACUCCCCGAAAGGGGUGCUAAUACCGGAUAAUGUCUUCGGACCAAAGAUUUAUCGCCUUUGGAUGGGCCCGCGUUGGAUUAGCUAGUUGGUAGGGUAAAAGCCUACCAAGGCGACGAUCCAUAGCUGGUCUGAGAGGAUGAUCAGCCACACUGGGACUGAGACACGGCCCAGACUCCUACGGGAGGCAGCAGUGGGGAAUAUUGGACAAUGGGCGAAAGCCUGAUCCAGCAAUGCCGCGUGAGUGAUGAAGGCCUUAGGGUUGUAAAGCCCUUUUACCCGGGAUGAUAAUGACAGUACCGGGAGAAUAAGCUCCGGCUAACUCCGUG